CGAUGACGGCGCGGCGGGGAAGAAAAGAUCUGAGCAGAAAUCAUCGUCACGGAGAGGAUAAUGAAGCCAUGAGCCAUGAGGACAUUUCGUCUUCCUGGAUGAAGAGAUUAUGAUCCAACGGCGGGGGAGGAGCAGAGGAAGAAGAAGAAGAAGGAGGUUGUUUCUUGGUGUUUGGUCUUUGAUUUUGGAGAACCACCUGACCGUUGUGCCAUAGAAGCUCCAUGAGAUCACCAUCUUCUUCUUCCCCUCUGAUGGGUUUUCUAGGAAGAUUUGAAGAAGAAGAGUUUGUGUUUGCGUUGACAUAAUCAUCAUCGGUCUCGAAGUCGGGAACGAAAUGGUGGUGGUGGUUCAUUAUGUCUGAAGAACACAAAUAACCUUGAGAUUGUCCUGUCUGUCUCUCUGGUUUUAUAUCCUAAAGCCCCAAAAAAGUCUGGAGAAGUAGUGCCCAGAGAUGAGAUUGUUAUUAUUUGGUAUAAGAGGAAGAUAAACACACACGCCUGAGGUUUCCACUGAGGUAGUUAUAGCCUUUAUUUAUUUCUGAGGGGGGGGAUCUUUUGGGUCUCUGAAGGCUCUUCUCAAAGUUCGUGCUUUUACAAUGUGAUAAGCUUCUUCUCUAUCUCUCUUUCUAGUUAAUUUUGGGCAUUUUGUGUUUUGUCUUUAUGUUUCUCCACUGGACUCUGUUUCUUUUUUCAUUUUUGCCCCUUGGGUGACUCCAUUGUGUAUCUCAUUUACUGUAUAUCAUCUUCUUAAAUGUAAAUCUCCACUUGUAUGGAUUUGUUUAUUUCA